AAUCUGGAUNGUCNCAAGACGGACUAAAGCGAAAGCAUUUGCCAAAGGUGUUUUCAUUAAUCAAGAACGAAAGUUAGAGGUUCGAAGGCGAUUAGAUACCGCUGUAGUUCUAACCAUAAAUGAUGCCAGCCAGCGAUCCGCCGAAGUUUCAUAAAUUUAACCCGGUGGGCAGCUCCCGGGAAACCAAAGCUUUCGGGCUCCGGGGGGAGUAUGGUUGCAAAGCUGAAACUUAAAGGAAUUGACGGAAGGGCACCACCAGGAGUGGAGCCUGCGGCUUAAUUCGACUCAACACGGGAAAACUCACCAGGCCCGGACACUGGAAGGAUUGACGGAUUAACAGCUCUUUCUCGAUUCGGUGGGUGGUGGUGCAUGGCCGCUCUUAGUUGGUGGAGCGAUUUGUCAGGUUAAUUCCGGUAACGAACGUAACUCACCGGCGGUAUAUAUAGCCGCACGAGAUUGAGCAAUAGCAGGUCUGUGAUGCCCUUAGAUGUCCUGGGCCGCACGCGCGCUACACUGAAGGGAUCAGCGUGUCCUCCUUGGCCUAACGGCCCGGGUAACCCGAUGAAACCCCUUCGUGAUAGGGAUUGGGGUUUGCAAUUCUCCCCCAUGAACGAGGAAUUCCUAGUAAAAGCGGGUCACCAGCUCGCGUUGAUUGCGUCCCUGCCCUUUGUACACACCGCCCGUCGCUACUACCGAUGGAUGAUUUGGUGAGGUCUUCGGACUGGUGCGCGGAAGUUCGUCUCGGACAUCCGACGCGUCGGAAAGUUUGACCGAAUUUGAUCAUUUAGAGGA
rnacentral:rRNA from 1 species